rnacentral:rRNA from 1 species
CCGCCCGUACCCCAAACCGACACAGGUGAUCAGGUAGAGAAUACCAAGGCGAUCGAGUGAACCAUGGUUAAGGAACUCGGCAAAAUGCCCCCGUAACUUCGGGAGAAGGGGGGCCGGAUGCGUUACAUGGCUUGCCCAUGGAAGCGUUGAUGGCCGCAGAGACCAGGCCCAAGCGACUGUUUACUAAAAACACAGGUCCGUGCGAAGAAGUAAUUCGAUGUAUACGGACUGACGCCUGCCCGGUGCUGGAACGUUAAGGGGACAGGUUAGCUGGUUUAGGCCGGCGAAGCUUUGAACUUAAGCGCCAGUAAACGGCGGUGGUAACUAUAACCAUCCUAAGGUAGCGAAAUUCCUUGUCGGGUAAGUUCCGACCUGCACGAAUGGCGUAACGACUUGGGCGCUGUCUCAACCAUGGACUCGGCGAAAUUGCAUUACGAGUAAAGAUGCUCGUUACGCGCAGCAGGACGGAAAGACCCCGGGACCUUUACUACAACUUGGUAUUGGUGGUCGGUACAACUUGUGUAGGAUAGGUGGGAGACUGUGAAAUCCGGACGCCAGUUCGGGUGGAGUCAUCGUUGAAAUACCACUCUGGUUGUUCUGGCUGUCUAACUUCGGUCCAUUAUCUGGAUCAGGGACAGUGCCUGGUGGGUAGUUUGACUGGGGCGGUCGCCUCCUAAAAGGUAACGGAGGCGCUCAAAGGUUCCCUCAGCCUGGUUGGCAAUCAGGUGUCGAGUGUAAGUGCACAAGGGAGCUUGACUGUGAGACAGACAUGUCGAGCAGGGACGAAAGUCGGAACUAGUGAUCCGGCGGUGGCAUGUGGGAGCACCGUCGCUCAACGGAUAAAAGGUACCCCGGGGAUAACAGGCUGAUCUUCCCCAAGAGUCCAUAUCGACGGGAUGGUUUGGCACCUCGAUGUCGGCUCGUCGCAUCCUGGGGCUGGAGUAGGUCCCAAGGGUUGGGCUGUUCGCCCAUUAAAGCGGCACGCGAGCUGGGUUUAGAACGUCGUGAGACAGUUCGGUCCCUAUCCGCUGCGCGCGCAGGAGACUUGAGAAGGGCUGCCCCUAGUACGAGAGGACCGGGGUGGACGAACCUCUGGUGUGCCAGUUGUUCCGCCAGGAGCACGGCUGGUUGGCUACGUUCGGGAGUGAUAACCGCUGAAAGCAUCUAAGCGGGAAGCACGCUUCAAGAUGAGGUCUCCCACCGAGUUAAUCGGGUAAGGCCCCCAGUAGACCACUGGGUUGAUAGGCCAGAGGUGGAAGCGCCGUAAGGUGUGGAGCUGACUGGUACUAAUAGGCCGAGGGCUUGUCUC